rnacentral:rRNA from 1 species
AGUGAGGAAUAUUGGUCAAUGGGCGCAAGCCUGAACCAGCCAUCCCGCGUGCAGGAAGACGGCCCUAUGGGUUGUAAACUGCUUUUCCAGGGAGAGAAACUUACGCACGUGUUGCGUGACUGACGGUACCCUGGGAAUAAGCAUCGGCUAACUCCGUGCCAGCAGCCGCGGUAAUACGGAGGAUGCAAGCGUUAUCCGGAUUCAUUGGGUUUAAAGGGUGCGUAGGCGGGCUAUUAAGUCAGUGGUGAAAUCCUGCAGCUUAACUGCAGAACUGCCGUUGAUACUGAUAGUCUUGAGUUUGGUUAAGGUAGGCGGAAUGUGUAAUGUAGCGGUGAAAUGCUUAGAUAUUACACAGAACACCAAUUGCGUAGGCAGCUUACUGAGCCGACACUGACGCUGAGGCACGAAAGCGUGGGGAUCAAACAGGAUUAGAUACCCUGGUAGUCCACGCCGUAAACGAUGAUUACUCGCUGUUGGCGAUACACUGUCAGCGGCUAAGCAAAAGCAAUAAGUAAUCCACCUGGGGAGUACGGCCGCAAGGUUGAAACUCAAAGGAAUUGACGGGGGCCCGCACAAGCGGAGGAACAUGUGGUUUAAUUCGAUGAUACGCGAGGAACCUUACCUGGGCUUAAAUGUAGAGUGCAUUUUCUAGAGAUAGAAAUUCCCUUCGGGGCUUUCUGCAAGGUGCUGCAUGGUUGUCGUCAGCUCGUGCCGUGAGGUGUCGGGUUAAGUCCCAUAACGAGCGCAACCCUUAUCGUUAGUUGCCAGCUGGUAAAGCAGGGGACUCUAGCGAAACUGCCACCGUAAGGUGAGAGGAAGGUGGGGAUGACGUCAAAUCAGCACGGCCCUUAUGUCCAGGGCUACACACGUGUUACAAUGGCCGGUACAGAGGGCUGCUACCUGGUGACAGGAUGCUAAUCUCGAAAACCGGUCUCAGUUCGGAUCGAAGUCUGCAACUCGACUUCGUGAAGCCGGAUUCGCUAGUAAUCGCGCAUCAGCAACGGCGCGGUGAAUACGUUCCCGGGCCUUGUACACACCGCCCGUCAAGCCAUGGAAGCUGGGGGUGCCUGAAGUCCGUAACCGCAAGGAGCGGCCUAGGGUAAAACUAGUGACUGGGGCU